AAUGUCUGGUAUAUGUAAUGGCUUUAUGCAUUUAUUCAAUGUAAUGAAAAUCUUUUAAAUUCUUCUUCAUUUUCUGGUUUUACUUGAGCACUUUUAAGUUCACAAAACUAUAGCCGAUUCUCUUGUUUGAUCAGCAAGAAAUUGAAGCUUAUUGCUUAAGUUUCUGUCAAAGUUUCACAUUGUUCCAACAAAAAAGCUCAUACGGACAUGCUUGGUGGAAUUGAAGAAACUUGCAGAAGCAGAAGAUUUGAGUUGGAAAUGAUGUUAGACUCAUUCAAUCAGUCUUUUCUCCUGAAAGAGUUCAUUCGACCAAUAGGAUUUGAUGACCAUGUUAACUUGGGAUGAACGAAAGAUGGGUGUGAAGUUUAAUGAUGAAAAUGAUAGUAAUUAAGUAGUAGUUGGAUUGUUACACCUUCUUUGCUUUCUUCGACAAUUUCAUUAAAGUGCCUGCCUUGCAUGUGGGUGAAGUUGAGCCAAACACCAAUGAAACAAGAUUACUUUCCAAUCAACUAUAAUUCAAAUUUUUAAGUUUUUGAUGUAA